GGAUCCAGACUUUGAUUAUGGCUCAGGACGAACGCUGGCGGCGCGCCUAACACAUGCAAGUCGAGCGGGAAGCUUUUUAAGGAUUCUUCGGAUGAAUUAAAGAGUGGAGAGCGGCGGACGGGUGAGUAACGCGUGAGAAACCUGCCCUAUACAGGGGGAUAGCCAUUGGAAACGAUGAUUAAUACCCCAUAUGACCACAGUAUCGCAUGAUACAGCGGUGAAAACUCCGGUGGUAUAGGAUGGUCUCGCGUCUGAUUAGCUAGUUGGUGGGGUAACGGCCUACCAAGGCGACGAUCAGUAGCCGGCCUGAGAGGGUGACCGGCCACACUGGAACUGAGACACGGUCCAGACUCCUACGGGAGGCAGCAGUGGGGAAUAUUGCACAAUGGGCGAAAGCCUGAUGCAGCGACGCCGCGUGACCGAUGAAGGCUUUCGAGUCGUAAAGUUCUGUUCUUGGGGAAAAUAACGACGGUACCCAAGGAGAAAGCCCCGGCUAAAUACGUGCCAGCAGCCCCGGUAAUAA
rnacentral:rRNA from 1 species